GCCCUCUCAGGAUCGCACCUGGAGAGUUUCCGGUAGUCUACCUGUCUCGACUAUGGAAGGGAGAGUCAAGCAGAGGCCUACACAUUCCAUUCCUGUCUUGGGCAGUGGCUAGUGAGUGGAAGCCAAUCUGCUACAAGU